ACUAACAAGGAUUCCCCUAGUAACGGCGAGUGAAGAGGGAAGAGCUCAAAUUUGAAAGCUGGUACCUUCGGUAUCCGCGUUGUAACCUCGAGACACGUUUUCCGUGCGGCGCUAUGGACAAGUUCCUUGGAACAGGACAUCGUAGAGGGUGAAAAUCCCGUACUUGCCAUGGAUGUACCGUGCUUUGCGAUACGUGCUCUAAGAGUCGAGUUGUUUGGGAUUGCAGCUCAAAAUGGGUGGUAGACUCCAUCUAAAGCUAAAUAUCGGGGAGAGACCGAUAGCGAACAAGUACCGUGAGGGAAAGAUGAAAAGCACUUUGGAAAGAGAGUUAAAAGUACGUGAAAUUGUCGAAAGGGAAGCGCUUGAAGUCAGCCAUGCCGCUCAGGACUCAGCCUGGCUUUUGCUUGGUGUAUUUCCUGGGUAGCAAGUCAGCAUUGGUUUGGAUCGUCGGAGAAGCAUAGUCGGAAUGUGGCGCCCUCGGGCGUGUUAUAGCCUUCUAUUGGAUACGACGAUCUAGACCAAGGAACGCAGCGCGCCUUAUGGCGGGUCUUCGGACACCUUCGCGCUUAGGAUGCUGGCGUAAUGC
rnacentral:rRNA from 1 species